AGCGGACAGAAGGGAGCUUGCUCCCGGAUGUUAGCGGCGGACGGGUGAGUAACACGUGGGUAACCUGCCUGUAAGACUGGGAUAACUCCGGGAAACCGGAGCUAAUACCGGAUAGUUCCUUGAACCGCAUGGUUCAAGGAUGAAAGACGGUUUCGGCUGUCACUUACAGAUGGACCCGCGGCGCAUUAGCUAGUUGGUGGGGUAAUGGCUCACCAAGGCGACGAUGCGUAGCCGACCUGAGAGGGUGAUCGGCCACACUGGGACUGAGACACGGCCCAGACUCCUACGGGAGGCAGCAGUAGGGAAUCUUCCGCAAUGGACGAAAGUCUGACGGAGCAACGCCGCGUGAGUGAUGAAGGUUUUCGGAUCGUAAAGCUCUGUUGUUAGGGAAGAACAAGUGCGAGAGUAACUGCUCGCACCUUGACGGUACCUAACCAGAAAGCCACGGCUAACUACGUGCCAGCAGCCGCGGUAAUACGUAGGUGGCAAGCGUUGUCCGGAAUUAUUGGGCGUAAAGGGCUCGCAGGCGGUUUCUUAAGUCUGAUGUGAAAGCCCCCGGCUCAACCGGGGAGGGUCAUUGGAAACUGGGAAACUUGAGUGCAGAAGAGGAGAGUGGAAUUCCACGUGUAGCGGUGAAAUGCGUAGAGAUGUGGAGGAACACCAGUGGCGAAGGCGACUCUCUGGUCUGUAACUGACGCUGAGGAGCGAAAGCGUGGGGAGCGAACAGGAUUAGAUACCCUGGUAGUCCACGCCGUAAACGAUGAGUGCUAAGUGUUAGGGGGUUUCCGCCCCUUAGUGCUGCAGCUAACGCAUUAAGCACUCCGCCUGGGGAGUACGGUCGCAAGACUGAAACUCAAAGGAAUUGACGGGGGCCCGCACAAGCGGUGGAGCAUGUGGUUUAAUUCGAAGCAACGCGAAGAACCUUACCAGGUCUUGACAUCCUCUGACAACCCUAGAGAUAGGGCUUUCCCUUCGGGGACAGAGUGACAGGUGGUGCAUGGUUGUCGUCAGCUYGUGUCGUGAGARGUUGGGUUAAGUCCCGCAACGAGCGCAACCCUUGAUCUUAGUUGCCAGCAUUUAGUUGGGCACUCUAAGGUGACUGCCGGUGACAAACCGGAGGAAGGUGGGGAUGACGUCAAAUCAUCAUGCCCCUUAUGACCUGGGCUACACACGUGCUACAAUGGACAGAACAAAGGGCUGCGAGACCGCAAGGUUUAGCCAAUCCCAUAAAUCUGUUCUCAGUUCGGAUCGCAGUCUGCAACUCGACUGCGUGAAGCUGGAAUCGCUAGUAAUCGCGGAUCAGCAUGCCGC
rnacentral:rRNA from 1 species